rnacentral:rRNA from 1 species
CGUAGGCGGCAAGCGUUACCCGGAUUUAUUGGGCGUAAAGCGUGCGCAGGCGGUUUUGAAAGUCAUCAUUGAAAUCUUGGGGCUCAACCCCAAGCCUGGUGGUGAUACUUCAAGACUAGGUUACUUGAGGGGGUACCGGAACAGUUGGUGGAGCAGUGAAAUGCGUUGAUAUCAACUGGAACACCAAAGGCGAAGGCAGGUACCUGGCAAGUCAACGACGCUGUUGCACGAAAGCGUGGGGAGCAAAACGGAUUAGAUACCCGUGUAGUCCACGCCGUAAACUAUGGACACUAGAUAUCAGAGUGGUUGACGCUUUGGUGUCGUAAGCUAACGCGUUAAGUGUCCCGCCUGGGGAGUACGGCCGCAAGGCUA